CUGCUGUGAUGAAACUUAACAUAACAACUCUGAAUUUUUCAUGUUGUUAAAAAAUACGAGCUUUUUAAAUCUGAGCAGG